UACGUAGGGUGCAAGCGUUAAUCGGAAUUACUGGGCGUAAAGCGUGCGCAGGCGGUGAUGUAAGACAGAUGUGAAAUCCCCGGGCUCAACCUGGGAACUUGCAUUUGUGACUGCAUCGCUGGAGUGCGGCAGAGGGGGAUGGAAUUCCGGCGUGUAGCAGUGAAAUGCGUAGAUAUGCGGAGGAACACCGAUGCGAAGGCAAUCCCCUGGGCCUGCACUGACGCUCAUGCACGAAAGCGUGGGGAGCAAACAGG
rnacentral:rRNA from 1 species